rnacentral:lncRNA from 1 species
GUCGUAGUCCGGGAAAGGGUUGGAGAACGCCCGCUCCUCCAUGUCGGCUUCCCCGCCCAGGCACCUAUGUGUGUGUCAUCCUGGAGAGAAAUGUGGAUCAACAGAAAUAGAACAAAGUGACACCCAGCAGCCAGCUUCCUGUACAAUCACGGCAAGUCUAAGAAUACAGAACACUCUGUGGGAUACGGAGUCUACUUGCGGCUUUGUUUACUCCAGCAGUGUCUUCCUUUAGACUUAUGUUGAAAUGUCAUGUACCACAGAGAGCAUAAUAAAAUAAUGAAAAUUGCCAUCAGGGGAAGUUCUCCCUGAUUUGAGGCACCAGGAAUUCUCUCAUGCCUAUUUGAUGUUUAAAAUCACAUGACAUUCCUCCAACUCCGGGUUGUUUGCUUUGGAAAAAACUUUCUUCAUCCAGCUUACAUUAUGCUUUCUAAGUAAAAUCCAGAGGAAAAUAAUAUCUGGAAGUGUUCUGUUCAAUGGCGUGGCUCUCCUGGCUCCAUCCCUGUGGCAGACCCAGAGCAGAUGUCCUCUUGGUCCUUUGCCAUGGCUUCUGGCUGUCCAUCUGUGGACCUUGAGGCUUGACUUAGGUAAUUAUCACCUGACAAUUGUUUGAACAGGACAGUUUUAGAUGAAGGAAAGCUCACUAGCAGCUGUUUUACACUACAUUUUGAAAGAACUUGGAAUUUCAUAUGUGACUAUUUUUCCUGGCC